rnacentral:lncRNA from 1 species
AGGCGACGGUUGACCAGAAAAAGAUACUUCACUCCAAACAAUGGCGAUGAUCCUCCAUUAACACACACACACCGAUACUCCAAUUCUCUCUCUCUUGACAGCAAAGAAGAGAGAGAAACCCUCUUUCUCUCUCAUGGCAGUCACCACCUCCACUCCCAUUCGAUCUUUCUUUAUCCAAUCACCGAACAGCCACCACCGCCGUCACAGUCACCACCGCCACCAUACUCCCCUCAAUCUCAAAAUCGUCACCCAAACUCGCAAAACCCAUCUCUCUUUUACACUUAAUAAGCUCCACAACCGUACUCCCCCACUAACAAUCGCUUAUUCCGGUGGAAAUGGCGACGACGGUGUCGGUGGAACUGGAGGAGGAGGAGGUGGUGGUGGUGGUGGG